UACAAGUCCUCAUAUCUGUAAUGCUGAAAAUGCCCUGUGGAAACAGCUGGGCAUCAUUAGAUGUAACCAUGCAUUUUACGAAAUGAUCUAGAAUGAAUUGGACAUAGCUAAUGAAAAGGUAACAAGCUAAUGCUCCAUUUCCUCUGGAACAGGAUAUGGAGCUCUAUAAAAGGUCCACCCCCCCAGUCGGCUUCAUUUAUCCUUCAAGUUCGUAAACUCACCAGUCUACCAACUACUGAACAAGCCUUAUCCUGCCUUCACAAUGAUGCCUAUGCUGGGAAACUUAAUGAUGGGAAGCGGAAUGAUGGGAGGCGGAAUGAUGGGAAACCCAAUGAUGGGAAACGGAAUGAUGGGAAAUGGAAGGGUUAUGUGUAUACCUAUCAACGGUGGCGGCGCGAACUUCAAUCCUUCUAGCAAUGGCCCAUGCAUCUACAUGGUUGGUGGAGGACGCCACUAACUCCUGCUGUUGAUGUUGUUAACUAAAGCUCCGGGAAAGAACCUCAAUGAGUAGCAACAUGGAUGUCCCACCAGGCAGAACUAUCUCGGUGUCAACGAUAUCUAUUUGAAGACCUGUCUGAUGACCUUUUUUCCUCCUCAUUGACCAGUCAAAACUAAAGCUUUGUGGUUGCCUCUUGAAAAAAUGCCUACCUUCUUUCUCCUCUUCAUUUUACUUUGAAAAUCUGAUUCCUAGAUGUCCCGAUAAACACAGAAAAAGGCCCGAUGGAUCGUGCUGAAAGCAUGGAUGCAGAUCUCCUUUUACGUCUCUAGGCUAUCACUGAAAAUCCCCCCCAUUCUUCUCACAAUAAAUGAAAUCAUAAGCA